UGGGGAAUAUUGCACAAUGGACGGAAGUCUGAUGCAGCAACGCCGCGUGCGGGAUGACGGCCUUCGGGUUGUAAACCGCUUUUUCUCAUGACGAAGUUUUUUGACGGUAGUGGGGGAAGAAGCACCGGCUAACUACGUGCCAGCAGCCGCGGUGAUACGUAGGGUGCGAGCGUUGUCCGGAAUUAUUGGGCGUAAAGAGCUUGUAGGCGGUUUGUCGCGUCGAUAGUGCAAACUCAGUGCUUAACGCUGAGCCUGCUGUUGAUACGGGCAGACUAGAGGAAGGUAGGGGAGAAUGGAAUUCCCGGUGGGGCGGUGGAAUGCGCAGAUAUCGGGAGGAACACCGGUGGCGAAGGCGGUUCUCUGGGCCUUUCCUGACGCUGAGAAGCGAAAGCGUGGGGAGCGAACAGG
rnacentral:rRNA from 1 species